AUGUCGCGCUUCUUUUCCUCUUUCAAUACAGACGAGUGAAGGCAAGAGUUGCACCUGUGGUUUCUUAAUCUUCUCCCGUUAAUAUUCCCUUGUUUAAGGGCGCAACAAACGUAGAUAAUGCAUCUGCAUCCAGUGGUGUUGAAGACCUUGAGGGACGCAGCCAGGAACACAUCGAGAGUAACCUCCGGUAAAGUGACCUCACGAAACCCAGCCUCUGCAAACAUCUAACUCCCUACCUGAAGCCUAAUGUGGCCCAGGGAGCAAGAAAAAGAGAUGCAAGUACUACACAUUCAAGAAACCUACCACGAAUGCAAACAUAUGCAAAUCAUAUAGACAUAAUAUCCUUCAUGUGUCCAGUACUAACUGCUUCUAUCCCCCGGUCAGAAUUACAUAGUACAUCUGCCUGUACAAUACACAUUUUGAACACUGCUGUGACGGUGAGGUGACAGACAGCCCCGUCAUCUCCCUCUUUUCCCGGUUUACUUUUCAUCCAUGAACACAUCCCGGACUUGUCUUGUGUCUUUGAUUAUCACUCACACCUGGUCCCACUCCGG
ensembl:lncRNA